rnacentral:rRNA from 1 species
CCUACGGGAGGCAGCAGUGGGGGAUAUUGCACAAUGGGGGAAACCCUGAUGCAGCGACGCCGCGUGUGGGAAGACGGUCCUCUGGAUUGUAAACCACUGUCCCCAGGGACGAAGAUGACGGUACCUGGGGAGGAAGCUCCGACUAACUACGUGCCAGCAGCCGCGGUAAUACGUAGGGAGCGAGGGUUGUCCGGAAUUACUGGGUGUAAAGGGAGCGUAGGCGGGGAUGCAAGGUGGGUGUCAAAACGACCGGCUCAACUGGUAGUCGCACUCAAAACUGCAGUUCUUGAGUGAAGUAGAGGCAGGCGGAAUUCUUAGUGUAGCGGUGAAAUGCGUAGAUAUUAGGAGGAACACCAGUGGCGAAGGCGGCCUGCUGGGCUUUUACUGACGCUGAGGCUCGAAAGUGUGGGGAGCAAACAGGAUUAGAUACCCGGGUAGUC